rnacentral:rRNA from 1 species
AGUGAACGCUGGCGGUAGGCCUAACACAUGCAAGUCGAACGGCAGCACAGUAAGAGCUUGCUCUUACGGGUGGCGAGUGGCGGACGGGUGAGGAAUACAUCGGAAUCUACUUUUUCGUGGGGGAUAACGUAGGGAAACUUACGCUAAUACCGCAUACGACCUACGGGUGAAAGCAGGGGAUCUUCGGACCUUGCGCGAUUGAAUGAGCCGAUGUCGGAUUAGCUAGUUGGCGGGGUAAAGGCCCACCAAGGCGACGAUCCGUAGCUGGUCUGAGAGGAUGAUCAGCCACACUAGAACUGAGACACGGUCCAGACUCCUACGGGAGGCAGCAGUGGGGAAUAUUAGACAAUGGGCGCAAGCCUGAUCCAGCCAUACCGCGUGGGUGAAGAAGGCCUUCGGGUUGUAAAGCCCUUUUAUUAGGAAAGAAAAGCAGCAGGUUAAUACCCCGCUGUUCUGACGGUACCCAAAGAAUAAGCACCGGCUAACUUCGUG